GAUGAACGCUGGCGGCGUGCCUAAUACAUGCAAGUCGAGCGAAGCGGGGACGGGUGAGUAACACGUGGAUAACCUCAUAUAAGACUGGGAUAAAUUCGGGAAACAGGAGCUAAACCGGAUACGUCUAGAUGGAUCCGCGCUGCAUUAGCGAGUUGGUAAGGUAACGGCUUACCAAGGCAACGAUGCAUAGCCGACCUGAGAGGGUGAUCGGCCACACUGGAACUGAGACACGGUCCAGACUCCUACGGGAGGCAGCAGUAGGGAAUCUUCCGCAAUGGGCGAAAGCCUGACGGAGCAACGCCGCGUGUGUGAUGAAGGUCUUCGGAUCGUAAAACUCUGUUAUUAGGGAAGCGGUACCUAAUCAGAAAGCCACGGCUAACUACGUGCCAGCAGCCGCGGUAAUAC
rnacentral:rRNA from 1 species